GGACUUUCCCUUGUCUCCACCUUGGAGAGAAGAGCGUGUUCUGAUAUGAAUGAAGAAACAGGAUCCCUGUGGUCUGUUUUCCACAUUCUUUGAGCCAUCCCAAUGUAGGAACUAAGAGAAGAAAUCUCAUUCUUUCUCUUCUGCCCUUGAAAGAGCAACAGGUUCUGCAGCAGUGAGUCCAAGAUCCCCACUGAGGGCAUCUGACACGUGGCUGCAUGAUGCUCCUUGCUGCAAAUUCAAGAACUGAGGAUGUUCUUGGAAGAAAGAGGGAGAAAACAAUGUUUUGGAUAACAACAAAACUGAGGAGUGACAGAAUCCUAGGAAAUACCAAAUAG
rnacentral:lncRNA from 1 species